rnacentral:rRNA from 1 species
GAUGAACGCUGACAGAAUGCUUAACACAUGCAAGUCGAUGGGGAAGUGGUGCUUGCACCCUGGCAACCAUGGCGGACGGGUGAGUAACGCGUAAGGGACUUACCUGCAGGACUGGGAUAACAGGGGGAAACUCCUGACAAGACCGGAUAAUGUCAUGUAGCUGCAUGGCUUUAUGAUGAAAGGAGACGCCUGCGGAGAGCCUUGCGUCCUAUUAGCUAGUUGGUGAGGUAAUGGCUCACCAAGGCGAAGAUAGGUAGCCGGCCUGAGAGGGUGGACGGCCACAAGGGGACUGAGAUACGGCCCUUACUCCUACGGGAGGCAGCAGUGGGGAAUAUUGGACAAUGGGGGCAACCCUGAUCCAGCAAUUCUGUGUGCACGAAGAAGGUUUUCGGAUUGUAAAGUGCUUUCAGCAGGGAAGAAGUAAGUGACGGUACCUGCAGAAGAAGCGACGGCUAAAUACGUG